rnacentral:rRNA from 1 species
UACGUAGGGGGCAAGCGUUGUCCGGAAUCAUUGGGCGUAAAGCGCGCGUAGGCGGCUCGAUCAGUCUGCUGUAAAAGUCAAAGGCUCAACCUUUGAAUGCCGGUGGAUACUGUCGGGCUAGAGUCCGGAAGAGGCGAGUGGAAUCCCUGGUGUAGCGGUGGAAUGCGCAGAUAUCAGGAGGAACACCGGUGGCGAAGGCAGCUCGCUAGGACGGUACUGACGCUGAGGCGCGAAAGCGUGGGGAGCGAACAGG